rnacentral:rRNA from 1 species
GAUGUACGCUGGCGGCGUGCUUAACACAUGCAAGUCGAACGGUGAAGCAGGAGCUUGCUCUUGUGGAUCAGUGGCGAACGGGUGAGUAACACGUGAGCAACCUGCCCCUGACUCUGGGAUAAGCGCUGGAAACGGCGUCUAAUACUGGAUAUGUGAUGUGACCGCAUGGUCUGCAUCUGGAAAGAAUUUCGGUUGGGGAUGGGCUCGCGGCCUAUCAGCUUGUUGGUGAGGUAAUGGCUCACCAAGGCGUCGACGGGUAGCCGGCCUGAGAGGGCGACCGGCCACACUGGGACUGAGACACGGCCCAGACUCCUACGGGAGGCAGCAGUGGGGAAUAUUGCACAAUGGGCGGAAGCCUGGUGCAGCAACGCCGCGUGAGGGAUGACGGCCUUCGGGUUGUAAACCUCUUUUAGCAGGGAAGAAGCGAAAGUGACGGUACCUGCAGAAAAAGCACCGGCUAACUACGUGCCAGCCGCCGCCGUAA